CAAAACUGGACCAAAAUGGGGGGCAAAAAUAUCGUCAGGAAAACCGGUAGGAGUUGAGGAUGAUUCAAUGCACAGGAUUCAUAUGGAGUAAUAUUCAUCCAGAGAUCUGAAGCUGACAAUUUCCAAAAGGAAGCCAUGCAUAUAUAUGAGAUUAAUGCGGUGGUCCAGUGAGAAGCUUAGCCGUGGAUUAAGCAUAAGUCAACGUAGCUCGGAAUUCAACGGCUUUUGUUGGAGUUGGUGGAGUUGCAUGUAGGGGAAGAGUGUUCUCUGCUCAAUGGGACAGGCCACGUGGGGUUCUCGUGAGAUAGGAUGACUUUUCUUUUCUUUUCCAUUAUUUUUUUGGGUGGGGGUAUAUGAUAUCAUAGAGGAAUAAUUAGUUAGAGAUCUCGAUAUUAAAUUCUCAUUAUCGAUUUCAAUUGCA